GAUGAACGCUGGCGGCGUGCUUAACACAUGCAAGUCGAACGGUGAAGCGCCUUCCUUUUUGGUGGGUGUGGAAGAGGGGCGAACGGGUGAGUAACACGUGAGUAACCUGCCCCCUACUUCUGGAUAACCGCAUGAAAGUGUGGCUAAUACGGGAUAUUCUGGGCCUGUGGCAUGAUGGGUCUGGGAAAGAUAUUGUUUCGGUGGGGGAUGGGCUCGCGGCCUAUCAGCUUGUUGGUGGGGUGACGGCCUACCAAGGCGGUGACGGGUAGCCGGCCUGAGAGGAUGGGCGACCCUGCGAGUGCUACACCGCGCACACGACUCCGGGAGGCGGCAGCGGGGAAUAUUAGUCAACGGUGGGAGCCAUGCUGCUGCAGCGCCGCGUCGUGGAUGAUGGCGGCCUGCUGGUUAUCAACCUCUUUCGGGAGUGAAGCGGGCCUUCCUCGUAUGUGAGUGUGUUGACGGUACCUGAAUAAUAAGCACCGGCUAACUACGUG
rnacentral:rRNA from 1 species